GUGGGGAAUAUUGGACAAUGGGCGAAAGCCUGAUCCAGCCAUGCCGCGUGUGUGAAGAAGGUCUUCGGAUUGUAAAGCACUUUAAGUUGGGAGGAAGGGCAUUAACCUAAUACGUUAGUGUUUUGACGUUACCAACAGAAUAAGCACCGGCUAACUUCGUGCCAGCAGCCGCGGUAAUACGAAGGGUGCAAGCGUUAAUCGGAAUUACUGGGCGUAAAGCGCGCGUAGGUGGUUCGUUAAGUUGGAUGUGAAAGCCCCGGGCUCAACCUGGGAACUGCAUCCAAAACUGGCGAGCUAGAGUACGGUAGAGGGUAGUGGAAUUUCCUGUGUAGCGGUGAAAUGCGUAGAUAUAGGAAGGAACACCAGUGGCGAAGGCGACUACCUGGACUGAUACUGACACUGAGGUGCGAAAGCGUGGGGAGCAAACAGGAUUAGAUACCCGGGUAGUCC
rnacentral:rRNA from 1 species